rnacentral:antisense_RNA from 1 species
GCUGCCGCUCGGGUCCGGCUGCGGGCCACAGGCCGCGGAUCGCGCUCUGCCAGCGCCCCACGCCCGCAAGCGCGGCCCCUCCGCCACCUCGCGGCCCGGCCUGACCUGUUAAUCACGUCCCCACGGCUCUCCUAGCGGGGACACCGCCGUCUGCAGGCUCCGUCCCCACAGUGCCCAGACCCCGGGAUGUUUGUCAGUCAGCACCCUGAUGCCAGCCGAUUCUCAAAAAGCCAGGAGCAUCCAAGCAGAUCAUUUGCCAGACGGUACUGCAGCAAUGGAGAUGAACAGAUAAUUCAUACAGAAAGAAGGAUGAGGGACUGGAUCAAGCUGGGGCGAGAUAGAGUGGGGAAGUGAUGAGCUAAGAAAAAUUAGCCUGCAAGCAUGACGUGUCGCACGUCAGCAAGGCUGCAGCCUUGGAUUCUGAUGUCUUGAGAAGAGCGAUUCACCUGUGAAUUCUCACAGCCCUGGCCUCAGAAAGACGGCCCGGGACCAGGCCCGAUGGCACCCCUCUUCCCAGCUCUCAGCCAGGGCGGAAGGCACAAGUGAUGGCCCUGGCCUCCGCAGUCACACUCCUCCUGAAAGCUGACUGGCUGAACCUCACCUCUUCGCUAGCUUGCCACCCAGCUCUUGAGAACAUGUUUGUCCAAGGCCUCUUGGCAGGUCUCGAUG